rnacentral:rRNA from 1 species
GGACUUUAAGUCUCCUGAAGGAACGUUAAAGACGAUGACGUUGAUAGGCCGGGUGUGUAAGCGCAGCGAUGCGUUGAGCUAACCGGUACUAAUGAACCGUGAGGCUUAACCUUACAACGCCGAAG